rnacentral:rRNA from 1 species
GAUUGUAGGCUGAAACUCGCCUAUAUGAAGUCGGAAUUGCUAGUAAUCGCGGAUCAGCAUGCCGCGGUGAAUACGUUCCCGGGCCUUGUACACACCGCCCGUCACACCAUGAGAGUCGAUAACACCCGAAGCCUGUAGUCUAACAGCAAUGAGGACGCAGUCGAAGGUGGGAUUGAUAAUUAGGGUGAAGUCGUAACAAGGUAGC